AGAGUUGAUCAUGGCUCAGGAUGAACGCUAGCUACAGGCUUAACACAUGCAAGUCGAGGGGCAGCAUUGGAGUAGCAAUACUCAGAUGGCGACCGGCGCACGGGUGAGUAACACGUAUCCAACCUGCCGCUUACUCGGGGAUAGCCUUUCGGAAGAAAGAUUAAUACCCGAUGGUAUAAAGAGUUCGCAUGUUCUCUUUAUUAAAGAAUUUCGGUAAGCGAUGGGGAUGCGUUCCAUUAGAUAGUUGGCGUGGUAACGGCCCACCAAGUCUACGAUGGAUAGGGGUUCUGAGAGGAAGGUCCCCCACAUUGGAACUGAGACACGGUCCAAACUCCUACGGGAGGCAGCAGUGAGGAAUAUUGGUCAAUGGACGAGAGUCUGAACCAGCCAAAAGUAGCGUGAAGGAUGACUGCCCUAUGGGUUGUAAACUUCUUUUAUAAGGGAAUAAAGUGAGGGACGUGUCCCUUUUUGUAUGUACCUUAUGAAUAAGGAUCGGCUAACUCCGUGCCAGCCGCCGC
rnacentral:rRNA from 1 species